CAAAGGCAUGGUCCUGACCUUAUUAUCAGCUCUUACCCGACUUACACAUGCAAGUCUCCGCAAUCCCGUGAGUAUGCCCUCAAUCCCCUGCCCGGGGACGAGGAGCGGGCAUCAGGCACAAAUUUUAGCCCAAGACGCCUGGCCAAGCCACACCCCCAAGGGAAUUCAGCAGUGAUAAACAUUAAGCCAUAAGUGAAAACUUGACUCAGUCAAGGUAAAGAGGGCCGGUAAAACUCGUGCCAGCCACCGCGGUUAAACGAGAGGCCCUAGUUGAUAAAACCACGGCGUAAAGGGUGGUUAAGGAAAGCAAAACAAAUUAAAGCCAAAUGGCCCUUUGGCCGUCAUACGCUUCUAGGUGUCCGAAGCCCAAUUAUACGAAAGUAGCUUUAUUAAAGCCCACC
rnacentral:rRNA from 1 species